UACGUAGGGUGCAAGCGUUGUCCGGAAUUAUUGGGCGUAAAGAGCUCGUAGGCGGUCUGUCGCGUCGGCUGUGAAAACCCGAGGCUCAACCUCGGGCCUGCAGUCGAUACGGGCAAACUAGAGUACUGCAGGGGAGACUGGAAUUCCUGGUGUAGCGGUGAAAUGACGCAGAUAUCAGGAGGAACACCGGUGGCGAAGGCGGGUCUCUGGGCAGUAACUGACGCUGGAGGAGCGAAAGCGUGGGGAGCGAACAGG
rnacentral:rRNA from 1 species